CAAAUUAGCGGUAUUAACUUAUACUUUGAAACUGAGAGUUAUCUCCCUUCCGUUAGUGCCGAUCGUUGCCAAGCUACCGAUAUCAGCAAAACGACGCCAUUUUAUGUUGCCGCAUCUGCUGUCUCUUUGUUCUCAAUCUAUAACCUGCCUUGGAUUUUGAGCAUCGCUUGAGUUUUUAAACAUGCAGUCAAGUAGCUGUGUUCAAGUGAAGAAGAAACAGAAACCCUCCCAGCCGUCCUUCCUGAGAAGCACGAUGUCCCGUCCCAUGUCAUCAGAGUGGUCAAAAGCGCCUUCACCUCCAGCAAAAACGUUUAAUUAAAGCUUUCCUUGGAACAAGUUCCAGGAUAUUUUGUUGGGUUCAUGAACUUUUCAUCUUGUUAAUUAUUUCCAUAUGGUUUCAGUUGUAUAAAUAAAUGUUUUUGUUGUUCAAA